rnacentral:rRNA from 1 species
CUUGCUCUCGGGUGACGAGCGGCGGACGGGUGAGUAAUGUCUGGGAAACUGCCUGAUGGAGGGGGAUAACUACUGGAAACGGUAGCUAAUACCGCAUAAUGUCGCAAGACCAAAGUGGGGGACCUUCGGGCCUCAUGCCAUCAGAUGUGCCCAGAUGGGAUUAGCUAGUAGGUGGGGUAACGGCUCACCUAGGCGACGAUCCCUAGCUGGUCUGAGAGGAUGACCAGCCACACUGGGACUGAGACACGGUCCAGACUCCUACGGGAGGCAGCAGUGGGGAAUAUUGCACAAUGGGUGCAAGCCUGAUGCAGCCAUGCCGCGUGUGUGAAGAAGGCCUUCGGGUUGUAAAGCACUUUCAGCGGGGAGGAAGGCGAUAAGGUUAAUAACCUUGUCGAUUGACGUUACCCGCAGAAGAAGCACCGGCUAACUCCGUGCCAGCAGCCGCGGUAAUACGGAGGGUGCAAGCGUUAAUCGGAAUUACUGGGCGUAAAGCGCACGCAGGCGGUCUGUCAAGUCGGAUGUGAAAUCCCCGGGCUCAACCUGGGAACUGCAUUCGAAACUGGCAGGCUAGAGUCUUGUAGAGGGGGGUAGAAUUCCAGGUGUAGCGGUGAAAUGCGUAGAGAUCUGGAGGAAUACCGGUGGCGAAGGCGG